CCUGCCUCAGCCUCCUGAGUUAACAUAUAUUUUUAAAGGCCACUCUGAAUUUUCUAUGGUGAAUGAAUUAGAGGAAGACAAGGCUGGAAUUGGGGGAGUGGUGGAGGAACCAUGCAUAGACUUGGAUAGGCCCCCCAGGGGGAGCUGUGAUCUGCCGGGAAGGAUGACUGUGGCUCGGGUCCUGACAGUGGCUGUGAAGGCUCAGGAAGAAGGGAGUCUAUUUUGGAGGUGGAAAUGACAGAAAUUGCUAAUGAGUUAGAAGUGACUCUUACAUAUCUGAUGAGCAAUUUCUGACUUCGGUUGUUAUAUUUCUGGCUUGGUGUGAUUUUUGGAGAUAGUAAAGGCUGAAGUAGGAACAAAUCGAUGAAAGAAGCAGGGUGUGGAUCAAGGCUUGUAUUUGUGUGCUUUAAGUUUUGGAUGGCAGUGAGUUAUUCUGGUGAGGCUGUCACAGAAAGAGGCUGCAGUGCAGAAGAUGGGUCUGGGCUGAGGCAUGCAGCCUGUCUUCAUGGUGACUGGAUCCUCCCCCACAGCCCUAUGGAGAGACUUUUCACAAAGAAUCCCAGCCCCAUGCGUCCUUCAGCCUGUACUGACCUGAUGCAGACAGGGAGAGAUGAACACAGAACCCUCCAGCUGGAAGUUCUAAGGUUUCAGGACUUGCUUUGUGGCAGAGGUGGUCCAUGGCUGCCAAGAGGAAGAGGAUUCUGGCUUCUGUGACUCCUGUCAGCAGGGAAGGAGGCUGAAGGCAGAGUCAGAGCCUGGCUUCUGAAGCCUGCCAGUCUUCCUUAGCUCCAAGCGUUCAGCACGUCAGAGCCCCACACUGUGGGCUAUUGUUCUCAAG
rnacentral:lncRNA from 1 species